UCCCCGCCGCCGUCCAGCCGCCCCCCCCCCUCCUCCCUCCCCAGGCCCUCUCUGUUCCUCUUCCCCGCCGAAGGCAGCCACCGCUCGCCGGCAAGGAUGAAGCUCUGCGGGACUUUCCUCGGGGCCUGUAGUGGGCAGGUUUCUUCGCAACCCUUCAGCUGUUCCAUAUACAAUAUUAAUGCUGGCCAUUUCUAUUCGGCAUACAACGGCACUAAUUGUAGUCUGAGGCAUUAAGGCAGCCAGCCCAUCUGCAUAGAAGCUUUCAGAAAGAAACAAGGAAAAAAUCUUUCACCCCCAGCUGGUAACCGGAGAAGCUGGUGCCAAUUACAAAUGCAUAAAGUUUGAGAUCUAAAUUACUUCGGAACAGUCUCAGCGAAGCAAGCGAACUGCAGCACGGCGUUUUUUAUGUCUGUAUUUACACAAGCAAUUGCAGUUUUAUUUUAAAUAACCUGAAACUUGAAACGCCUGAUCUGAAAAGCUGAGCAUAGAAAGACGUUAAAAUAAAUAAAAAUACUGCAUGGGGACAGAAGCGAAGGGACUCCACUUAAAAAAAAAUAAACCCUUCUGGCAUUCAUUUCUGUAGGCGACGUUCAGUCAGUGCCCUCAGCGUACCCGUCUCAAACAACGCUGCAAAGGCGAAAAUAUUGGAAUAUUUUUAUUUUAUACCUUUCCGCUGCACGGCUCCCCUCGGGGAUGCGGCAGCUCUUUCAGACCUGGGAGCGCACGGUAAUUACUUGCUGCCUGAAACCGUCUGUGAAGUGACUGUGGAGCUUAAAAAUAAAAUAAAUAAAUAAAAAGUGCGAAAAUGCCUUAAAAGCCGGACGGGGGCGGCCGGAGCUGUCCGCUGCCGUGGUGCUGAGCCGCUGCUGGCACGGCUCGGCCCGGGCUGCAGCCCCCCCCCCCCCCCUUAGGGCUGCCCCCGGAGCCUGGGGGGUGCCGGGGGGGUCUGGGGAGUCCCGCUGCUUGCUGGAGCUCUUGGUGGCGACUGGAAGGUGGGGGUAAGGGGCCGGUUGGUUGCACCGUUUUGGGGAGGUUUUGA